AAGUCUGGGACAUCAACACGUUGACGUUUCAUUCCAGCCGUAGUGGAAGUUCCUCGCCCAUGGUGACAUGCAAAACAUUUGUAAUAGUUUAAGGUCGACUGCAGAAAUGUUCUGCCUCUACGCUACUCACUGGACUUGUGAGAUAUAUUUUGUGUCGAGCAGCCAGAUUUGGGAAUGUCAUUAGCUAUAAGAAAGGCUAAAACCUAUCCGGUGGAAAGCUCAUCCAUCUCCAGACCUCCGUACAUUUUGCGACAUGAGAAUAUUGCGAAACUCGAGCUUUCAUUGUUUGUUUACAGUUUGAAGAACAUAGUGCAGUGUGUUACUCCUUCUGCAGGCAGCCAUAAGUGUGUGUGUGUGUGUGUGUUUUAGAGGGGACUAUCGAUUCAAAUCUUUCAUUCAAAAACACCAGAAACUGCCGUUAAGACAUUUGUUGAACACAUCUUUCAAACUGAUUAUACUAGCUAACACUGCUGACUCCACACUUUAUUUUUUGCUAGACUUUAAAAUACCUUUAAAAUUAAACAAAGGUCCACAAGUAUCACUUGAAGGACCAUUUCCAUAUCUUACAGGUUACUUUUCUGACAACUGUACCUUUGGUACAGACAUGAUACCUCUUCUCUGUGUUUAGAAGAAAGGCAAUCAAUCUCAACUGUCUUUUUCUGUGGAAUGCAUGAAUGUAACAGAUCAGUGGGUGCAUCAGUGUUACUUUAUAUAAUGUAGCGAGUGUGCUCAGAAAUACUGGUGGGGAUGUGAGGUUCAAGUGUGCCACCAACAGAUUCAGCGGCAGGGCUGGUGGCUGCCCCCGCUCAUCCUGUAACUAGACAUGCAAAUAGUAGCCUUGUUAGAAUGGAUAUUUUACCCAAAUGAGGGAGAACACAACACUCACAUCUUUCACCUCUGGAAAAGGUCAUUGACUCCAUACUCAAAGACGUAGCCUUUCAUCCUCUUGUUUGAAAUGGUAUUCUUUCACUUGUUAUGCUUUUGUCAGAUUGUGUGAUUUUCAGCUAAGGGAGAAGUGAUGACAUUGAUGACCUCUAAUAAAGAUAUUCAUUUUUGAGAUGACCAAUCAAGACUUCAAGCCAUAAAAGACUAAUGAUCUGGCCACUUAUGACAAGGCUGUUACUGAUGAGCACUGAUGAAGAAAUCAAUAGCUGUUUUUGCAGGGUAACUGGGAGGACUUUGAUGAUAAACAUUUAUUUUAUGCUGGGAGAACUCCUUAUUCAGCCGGGUCUUUAGUGUAUCUUCUCUGUGCCACCAACCGUGUAGCCUAAAUAGGCUACUAGUUAAACGGUACUGGAACGACACCAGGGAUGGCCAACAGACCUCUGUUGAGUCUUCUUUAGUGCAGGAACUUUUUUCUCACAGAUUGGAGCGAAACACCAGUAAAAGUCCUUAUAUCUGCAAACAAAACGGAAAAGUUCUUAAGGUCCUCACGGACGACUUGUGAAAUACAAUUGCAAACGCAUGCGCAUCAUGCAAUCCUGUAUGAACACUACUCAGAGCACCACGGCCGUUUCUUCAGGCCAGCGGCUGCGCACUGUUCACAAGUUAAUGUCGCAUUUUUAACCAAUAGCCCACAAGUAAUGAGACAAUGUGGACCGGAAUAGGUAAAAAUGCACUUGACAAAGUGACCGUAGCUAGGUUUCUGACAUCAUAUAAGAACAUAUGGUCUAAAGACACAUUUAACAAUCCAGUUAUAGACAGAUAAAAGUUUAACACAAAACGAGGCUUACCCAGAAUAUAAUGCGUUUCUUGCGGUACAAGACCCGGACACACAAAUACAUUCCCUGCAGGCUACUUUGCUCGUUCCUAGCAGCAGCCUGGAAUUGUCAUUUUCAAAAUAAAAGCACAUACAAUGGAAGAAUAGAAAUCUAGUCCAGCUGCUAUAAC
ensembl:lncRNA